rnacentral:lncRNA from 1 species
AAUUCAUUGUAUUAUAACAUAUUCUAACCCAAAAUAACUAUAUACAAGCCAUUCACUGCAUCAAAGCAAUGGUUUUGGGUUCUUAUCCCAUAUGGGACCAAAUAUCAACAAGUCUUUCUUCUAACUUUUAAACAUUCUUCAUGCAUCUCUAGCACUUGUAAUCAAUCAAAUUAAUUGUAUUAUAACAUAUUCUAACCCAAAAUAACUUUAUACAAGCCAUUCACUUCGUCAAAGCAAUGGUUUUGGGCUCUUAUCCUAUUUGGGACCAAAUAUCAACAAGUCUUUCUUCUCAAUUUGAAACAAUCUUCAUGCAUCUCUAGCACUUGUAAUCAAUCAAAUUCAUUGUAUUAUAACAUAUUCAAACCCAAAAUAACUUUACACAAGCCAUUCACUUCCUCAAAGCAAUGGUUUUGGGCUCUUAUCCCAUUUGGGACCAAAUAUCAACAAGUCUUUCUUCUCACUUUUAAACAUUCUUCAUGCAUCUCUAGCACUUGUAAUCAAUCUAAUUCAUUGUAUUAUAACAUAUUCAAACCCAAAAUAACUUU